GGAAAGAUCUUGAUGGACAGGGGGCUGUUGGCCACCUUCUCCGCGUAGGCAUCCAGCUCGGCUGGGCUGGGGUAGCGGGAGGAAUGCAUAGAGCUGGCCACGGAUUCACCUGCAGGGACAGAAGCACAAGUGAGAGACUGGGCAGCCACAGCCCCUGGCUCCCCACCGGACCGCCAGUAUCACAGAUGAACGAAACUGGUGAAAUUAGCUGUGGAAACCCACCAGACUCAGCAAAAGCAGCUGCCGGGAGGGGGAAAAAUGAGAUCCAUGUGUGUUCUCGCUCCCCUUAAACUCUCUUUCUAGGCAAGCUUCUGCCAUUGUGGUGUGAAAACUCAUUUGUCCUCGGCAUUAUGCUUUCAUUCCGAGUUUAUCUUGAGUAUCCAAUGAGCCACCAACUGUGAAAAUGAUUAAAUCUACAAAAUCUAUCUAA